rnacentral:rRNA from 1 species
GUGCACGCUGGCGGUCGGCCUAACACAUGCAAGUCGCACGGCAGCACAGUAAGAGCUUGCUCUUACGGGUGGCGAGUGGCGGACGGGUGAGGAAUACAUCGGAAUCUACUUUUUCGUGGGGGAUAACGUAGGGAAACUUACGCUAAUACCGCAUACGACCUACGGGUGAAAGCAGGGGAUCUUCGGACCUUGCGCGAUUGAAUGAGCCGAUGUCGGAUUAGCUAGUUGGCGGGGUAAAGGCCCACCAAGGCGACGAUCCGUAGCUGGUCUGAGAGGAUGAUCAGCCACACUGGAACUGAGACACGGUCCAGACUCCUACGGGAGGCAGCAGUGGGGAAUAUUGGACAAUGGGCGCAAGCCUGAUCCAGCCAUACCGCGUGGGUGAAGAAGGCCUUCGGGUUGUAAAGCCCUUUUGUUGGGAAAGAAAAGCAGCAGGUUAAUACCCCGCUGUUCUGACGGUACCCAAAGAAUAAGCACCGGCUAACUUCGUG